CUACUCUGGUUUUUCUUCAGAUCGUAUAAAUCUUUCGCCUUUUACUAAAGAUUUCCGUGGAGAGGAACAUUUAUGAGUUUCUACCCAAUUUUUGAAAGACAAUAAGCAUGUAA
rnacentral:snRNA from 1 species